rnacentral:rRNA from 1 species
UACGAAGGUCCCAAGCGUUAUCCGGAUUUAUUGGGUUUAAAGGGUGCGUAGGCGGAUUAUUAAGUCAGUGGUGAAAGCUCCAUGCCUAACAUGGAAAUUGCCAUUGAUACUGAUGAUCUUGAGUACAUUUGAAGUGGGCGGAAUGUGUCAUGUAGCGGUGAAAUGCUUAGAUAUGACACAGAACACCGAUUGCGAAGGCAGCUCGCUAAACUGUAACUGACGCUGAGGCACGAAAGCGCGGGGAGCAAACAGG